UCCGGUUUGUCACCGGCAGUCUCCUUAGAGUUCCCACCAUCACGUGCUGGCAACUAAGGACAAGGGUUGCGCUCGUUACGGGACUUAACCCAACAUCUCACGACACGAGCUGACGACAGCCAUGCAGCACCUGUCUCAGAGCUCCCGAAGGCACCAAGGCAUCUCUGCCAAGUUCUCUGGAUGUCAAGACCUGGUAAGGUUCUUCGCGUUGCAUCGAAUUAAACCACAUGCUCCACCGCUUGUGCGGGCCCCCGUCAAUUCAUUUGAGUUUUAACCUUGCGGCCGUACUCCCCAGGCGGUCUACUUAAAGCGUUAGCUGCGCCACUAAGAAAUCAAGUCUCCCAACGGCUAGUAGACAUCGUUUACGGCGUGGACUAC
rnacentral:misc_RNA from 1 species